UCUUAUGGGUCAUUAAAAAAAAUCCCUGGUAGUUAUUGUUAGAGUUGGGUUGGUAACCCCAGUAUUGUGUCUAAAUUCUCAACAUGACCCUGUUCUCAUCAUGGCCAUGUAAUCAUCCCCUUUUUUUCUAAUUCUCAUAGUAUAUCACUUCUCACCUCUCUACCAGAUGUGUGAUUUGAGCAUUUGAGUGCCCCACUGGCUGCCGUACUUCACCCAAGUGGGUGCUAAACUUGGGUGGGUGGAUGAGCGUCUCCCUCAAUUGUGCUUCCAAUAAUUUUCCAAACAGUCCAAUCAAUAAUUCAUCAGAAUGAGAGUUAGUCUGUUAACUGCAUGGCAUUGCAUUCAUGUUAACUGGGAAACAUUGACGUCAAAAUGCUGAAAAUGAAAAUGUUGUUGACAGUUGUUACCUUAACGGAAUUGCAGUUGUGCGGUUCUGCAGACUCCUUUCAAGGCCGCAAACACCUCAACAGGAUGACACAGCCUUCGAGUUCCAAGAUUCCAGCUCCCACAAACGCACCAUUCCUCCUCACUCUCAAUAACCGGAAUUCUAAACACCUGUUCCUCAUCACCCCUUCUGGAUAGAGCCUAGGUCCAUACACCUUUCUGUCUGAGAAUGUGGACACAGUCCCAGGCUGAAGACACAGGUUCUGGCCAGGGUUGAUGGUUCCCUCUCACCCUUACCAAGGCCUGAUGGUGCGCUCCAGAAUCCACUGAAGAGCACCAAUUGGCUGACGGCAGCCCUCACCCAACAGAGCUGCGCCUGGAUCCUGGACAGGCCAUCAUAAACCCAGAUACCAUGCGGGCAAAGGCUGAGACUGGGAGAAUCUGCCUAGACCGCAUAAGCAGUGAAGGCCAAAAGGGACUGUGGCCCACACAACAGCAGAGCCCGACAAGGCACCCAGAGUCCCGGCAGUGCCCUAGCAGAAGCUUGCACACACAGCGGGGCAUGGUGUGUUGCUUGGGGUGGUGAAAACAUGCCCACAAAUGCUCCUUCAGCAUUCCCCCAACAUCCCCAAACAAAGCUGCCAGCUUCCAGAAUCUUCCCACCCCUACACAGCUACCUCCCAUUGGAACGUUGUCAGAAGCAGGUUGAGGUCGAGGCAGACAUAGAAGAUGUUAUCAUGCAGGGGUGCAUGACAGAGGUGGAGGAAGACAGCCAGGAGAUGUAGG